UUCAUGCAGGCACAGAGACACAAGUUAUAUGGGUAAUUUGCGUCUGAGGCGUUUCUGUGAUGUCACUCUUUUAACCUUGGAGAUCUGAUGCAUUCU
rfam:Triticum aestivum genome assembly, contig: Triticum_aestivum_CS42_TGACv1_scaffold_250071_3DL